UACGGAGGGUGCAAGCAUUGAUCGGAAUUACUGGGCGUAAAGGGCGCGUAGGCGGCGGGUCAAGUCGAGUGUGAAAGCCCCGGGCUCAACCUGGGAAUUGCGCUCGAGACUGGUCUGCUUGAGUUCGGGAGAGGAGAGUGGAAUUCCCAGUGUAGAGGUGAAAUUCGUAGAUAUUGGGAAGAACACCGGUGGCGAAGGCGGCUCUCUGGACCGAGACUGACGCUGAGGCGCGAAAGCGUGGGGAGCGAACGAGG
rnacentral:rRNA from 1 species